GACGAACGCUGGCGGCGUGCCUAAUACAUGCAAGUCGAACGCAUUUUCUUUCACCGUAGCUUGCUACACCGACAGAAAAUGAGUGGCGAACGGGUGAGUAACACGUGGGUAACCUGCCCAUCAGCGGGGGAUAACACUUGGAAACAGGUGCUAAUACCGCAUAAUUCCAUUUACUGCAUGGUAGAUGGAUGAAAGGCGCUUUUGCGUCACUGAUGGAUGGACCCGCGGUGCAUUAGCUAGUUGGUGGGGUAACGGCCUACCAAGGCUGCGAUGCAUAGCCGACCUGAGAGGGUGAUCGGCCACACUGGGACUGAGACACGGCCCAGACUCCUACGGGAGGCAGCAGUAGGGAAUCUUCGGCAAUGGACGCAAGUCUGACCGAGCAACGCCGCGUGAGUGAAGAAGGUUUUCGGAUCGUAAAACUCUGUUGUUAGAAAAGAACAAGGAUGAGAGUGGAAAGUUCAUCCCUUGACGGUAGCUAACCAGAAAGCCACGGCUAACUACGUG
rnacentral:rRNA from 1 species